GAUUUUCUCUUUUUCACUAGACUCUAGUGCAUAUUAUGUAUUUUAAUAUAGGGUCUAAGAAAGGAAGAGGGCUGAGGGAAGGUGAAGUGACUCUUUUGGAUCGGCAAUGGUGCAAAAGUUGCACUGUGGCCAUAGGCACCUAACCUCGAUGAUUAUCGUUUAGAUUUAGUUCUUUAUCAUUUGCAUGGUGAUGCAUUUGUAAACUUAUUUGAAUAAAUAGUGAAUGU
rnacentral:lncRNA from 1 species